rnacentral:rRNA from 1 species
AUACGGAGGAUCCGAGCGUUAUCCGGAUUUAUUGGGUUUAAAGGGUGCGCAGGCGGGAGAUUAAGUCGGCGGUGAAAUUUUGCAGCUCAACUGUAAAAGUGCCUUCGAAACUGGUUUCCUUGAGUGUAGAUGAAGGAGGCGGAAUUUGUGGUGUAGCGGUGAAAUGCAUAGAUAUCACGAGGAACUCCGAUUGCGCAGGCAGCUUACUAAACUACUACUGACGCUCAGGCACGAAGGCGUGGGGAUCAAACAGGAUUAGAUACCCUGGUAGUCCACGCAGUAAACGAUGAUUACUAGCUGUUUGCGAUACAAUGUAAGCGGCUGAGCGAAAGCGUUAAGUAAUCCACCUGGGGAGUACGUUCGCAAGAAUGAAACUCAAAUGAAUUGGCGGGG